AUAGUGAUAAUGACAUGGAAUGGGAGUAUUGUAAUACUCAUUUGAAUUUAUCUUUCAAAAAAGAACCUAUACCAAGAAUUAAAAACUUUGUUGCAGAGGUUAUACCAGCAUUUUCUGAUACAGAAUUCAAAUCUCAUUUUAGGGUGUUUCGAUCAACAUUUGAUUUUGUUCGUGAAAAAAUUAAACCAUCGUUAAUGAGAAAAACCCCAGGAUGUGAAAUGAUAUCACCAGACAAACAGUUAUUCAUCGCUUUAUGGAAAAUGGCUACUCCAGAUUCGUAUCGGUAUUAUAAAAAAUAUUACUUAUAUUUUGAAAGAAACGAACAAAGUAGAAACAAAACUUCAUCCUUAACCAAACGUAAUAAAAAACUUGAAUAUUUUUCCUUUUAAUUUAUAAUUUUAUAUAUAUACCUGAUUGUAGUCGCUCAUAUUCACGGUCCGUAACAACAAUUGUGUAAAUUUUAUUACUUUCUGGAUCAGUUAGCUCAACAGAAAUUAAUUUUGGUUGACUGCUUGCCAUUUUUGCGGGAUUGUAAAGAAUUUAACAAUUUAGAAAUAAAUGAAAUUUUUUGGUUAGCUUA